CCUACGGGAGGCAGCAGUGAGGAAUAUUGGUCAAUGGGCGAGAGCCUGAACCAGCCAAGUCGCGUGAGGGAAGACGGUCCUAUGGAUUGUAAACCUCUUUUGUCGGGGAGCAAACCGGCCUCGUUAGGCCCCAAGUGAGAGUACCCGAAGAAAAAGCAUCGGCUAACUCCGUGCCAGCAGCCGCGGUAAUACGGGGGAUGCGAGCGUUAUUCGGAUUUAUUGGGUUUAAAGGGUGCGUAGGCGGACUGGAAAGUCAGCGGUAAAAUCGAGAGGCUCAACCUCUUUCCGCCGUUGAAACUGUCGGGCUUGAGUGGGCGAGAAGUAGGCGGAAUGCGUGGUGUAGCGGUGAAAUGCAUAGAUAUCACGCAGAACUCCGAUUGCGAAGGCAGCAUACCGGAGCCCGACUGACGCUGAGGCACGAAAGCGUGGGUAUCGAACAGGAUUAGAUACCCCUGUAGUC
rnacentral:rRNA from 1 species